GCAUGCAAAGUAUGAGGAGAUGAGGUUAGUUGCAAUAAUGGAGUUUUGGUCAUGUCCAAGGUGAAUGAUUUGGGAGUGUAGUUGUUUCGUAUAUUUGAGAGAUUGAGAUUCAAUUGAAAGUUGAAGUAAGUCAAUGAAAUUAGGAGUUGAAGAAGUGUGAAGACGUUGAGAUUUGGUUGCAAAUUUCAAGAUUUUGCUUGCUGAGAAGAUUAUCAUUAAUAUUGAGAUUAAAAAUCAAAGGGAAUAUAGAAAAGUAUAUUAAAGAUUUUGAGGUAUGAUUGACAUACUAAUUUACUGUUUCAUAGUUUCAAUUUGGUUUAGAGAAGGCGCGAGAAGAUGAUUAACUAAAGUAUUCGCAAUGAGCUAUGAUAAAUUGAUGAGAAAACAGAAAUUUG
rnacentral:lncRNA from 1 species